rnacentral:rRNA from 1 species
UAAUGUAUGGGGAUCUGCCCGAUAGAGGGGGAUAACUACUGGAAACGGUGGCUAAUACCGCAUAAUGUCUACGGACCAAAGCAGGGGCUCUUCGGACCUUGCACCAUCGGAUGAACCCAUAUGGGAUUAGCUAGUAGGUGGGGUAAAGGCUCACCUAGGCGACGAUCUCUAGCUGGUCUGAGAGGAUGAUCAGCCACACUGGGACUGAGACACGGCCCAG